GUGAGGUCCACAACAAGACUCUAGGAGCUCCAGACUCAGGCCUCUGGGUUCUUCCUGGUCCUUGGGAGUGUGCCCACAUUUCAGGAGGGUAGCCUGGCCAGUGGAUCACUCCUAUUGACUAGUACAGUAUUUCUUUUAUGGGAUCAUUCCUCACACAAUGAGGGAGACAGUAGCCCAGAGGUGGGCAAGCCUAUGUCCUCCAAGGGCACUGUUGCCCAGCUGCACCAAGUGGCUCUUUCGACGGAUGACUCAUUGAUAUGGCUCUUUUUGAGCCAACAGGAAAAAUCUCUCCUGAGACCAUCUAAUGAUAUGCGUAAGAACAACAGCUCAUUUCCAGGCAGACAUGUGAUUCAACUUCUGAGGUCAGAGUGGCCCAGUGCAGCAACAGUCAUCAAAAUAAAAGAUGCUGUGUAACACUCCAUAGUCUCCCUAUCCAAAAAGAAGGAGCCAGAAUGUUUCAAAAGACACCCAUUGCAUAACUACACUGCUUCUUGGAUGAUCUGCCCAAAGAAGAUGUUUCUAGCAGAUCCUGGGAGCUGGCAGAAAAACAAUCCUGUUGAUACAGUAAUGGAUUUUGAAAAUUAAAAUAGCUUAAUAUGU